rnacentral:ncRNA from 1 species
AUAGCAAAAAGAGCACAGAUGUCAUUCCAGUGCUUGACACUGGGAUCCAGGAAUUUUUUGAGCAUGAAAGUUAUGCUAAGUUUUUGUUGGUAAGUAGAGGCUGGAUCCCAGUGUCAAGCACUGGGAUGACAAGAAAGAAAGCGCUGAUU